rnacentral:rRNA from 1 species
GUGGGGAAUCUUGCGCAAUGGGCGAAAGCCUGACGCAGCCAUGCCGCGUGAAUGAUGAAGGUCUUAGGAUUGUAAAAUUCUUUCACCGGGGACGAUAAUGACGGUACCCGGAGAAGAAGCCCCGGCUAACUUCGUGCCAGCAGCCGCGGUAAUACGAAGGGGGCUAGCGUUGCUCGGAAUUACUGGGCGUAAAGGGCGCGUAGGCGGACAGUUUAGUCAGAGGUGAAAGCCCAGGGCUCAACCUUGGAAUUGCCUUUGAUACUGCUGUCUUGAGUACGGGAGAGGUGAGUGGAACUCCGAGUGUAGAGGUGAAAUUCGUAGAUAUUCGGAAGAACACCAGUGGCGAAGGCGACUCACUGGCCCGUUACUGACGCUGAGGCGCGAAAGCGUGGGGAGCAAACAGGAUUAGAUACCCGGGUAGUCC